AUGGCUGCAGGUGGAGCUUCCUUUCUUGCUGCUGUUGUUGUUUUCUCCAUGCUGAUUAUGUCGUCUCUGGGGAAUCCGAGACCUUUAUGCAGUGACUGUGGGACGUUGUGCAGUACCAAGUGCAACGAGGAGGCUAAUACCCGCUGCAGCAGUAACUGUUACAAUCCUCAGGAGGAAUGCCAGAGGCAGGUUUCCGAGGAGUGCAUCAGAGAUGGUACCUGCUGCAGUAGCUAUGGCACGUGCACUUGUGACUGCAACACUAUAGCUCAAGAACGUUGCAGCAACCUCACCGACAACUACACAGAUUGCCAAGCUUGCACUAACAGCAUAUUCAAUCAGUGCAAUACCCCCUGUAACAACGACUGCAACAAUAAUUGUAAGAAGAAAGGGUGUAAUAAUGCAUAG
rnacentral:rRNA from 1 species